rnacentral:rRNA from 1 species
GGGGGACCUGAUGCAGCACGCCGCGUGAGUGAUGAAGGUUUUCGGAUCGUAAAGCUCUGUCUUUGGGGAAGAUAAUGACGGUACCCAAGGAGGAAGCCACGGCUAACUACGUGCCAGCAGCCGCGGUAAUACGUAGGUGGCGAGCGUUAUCCGGAUUUACUGGGCGUAAAGGGAGCGUAGGCGGAUGAUUAAGUGGGAUGUGAAAUACCCGGGCUCAACUUGGGUGCUGCAUUCCAAACUGGUUAUCUAGAGUGCAGGAGAGGAGAGUGGAAUUCCUAGUGUAGCGGUGAAAUGCGUAGAGAUUAGGAAGAACACCAGUGGCGAAGGCGACUCUCUGGACUGUAACUGACGCUGAGGCUCGAAAGCGUGGGGAGCAAACAGGAUUAGAUACC